GCCGGAGCACCCCCAACUCUGGUUUAGACUUUCUUUGCAGGUCCCGAUGGCGACCGCGGUCAUCCCAGCUCUUGCUUCUCCAACUUCGAUGAAAUUCUGCACCAACAUCUAUUUUAUUAAUAAUAUAAAUAUCAAUUAUAUAAGUUUGAAAUAUAAAUUAUAAUAAAUAUCCUAUCGCAUCCCAUAUGCGAUUGGCUUGUAGGACAUUAUUCUUUCACCCCUUUGUCUCACUUGCAUGCAUUGCCAGUGUCUCCACACUCGCAUGCCAUGCC
rnacentral:lncRNA from 1 species